GGCGCGGUGGCCUAAUGGUAAGGCGUCGCUUUCCGGCUACGGAGAACUCCCAAAGAGUGAUUGGCGAAGAUUGUGGGUUCGAGUCCCAUCCGCGUCG